rnacentral:lncRNA from 1 species
UUUCUAAUUCCUUCUUUUUUUCUGCCUGCCUUUGGCAAAUUCUUAGAUUCUUCUGUGUCUCAGAAGAAAUUAUAGAUUCUUGUAGUCUUUGAAAAGUUUUUGAAAAUGUGUAUGGGUAUUUAUGAUUGCUAUAGAUUGCACCAUUUAGCAAAUAACUUUUGGCAAAAUGGGUUGAAUACUCUUACUAGUUUUUGUUGGAUGGAUUAGGAUACCAUCUUUUCCUUUUAUUUGUGUGCGCACAGCAGAAACACAGGUUCGUGCAUUUGGUGUUCAACCUGACAAUUAACAUUGAUAAAUCUUUUGGAAACGUCAAUCCAUAUCCCCCUUUUCAGUCUCAAUAUGGUUGAAGGAUCUUGCUUUUACUAAGGCUUUUUUGUUCUUAAUAGUAAAUGGCAACGUGAAAGUGCAUAUCGCAUUUCAAUCUUUGCAUUCACAUCUCCAGUCAUUUACCUUUAUUAUUAUUAUUAUUAUUAUUUUUGCAUCGCUGCAUUUGAUGUUGUCCAUUUUAAUGGUUGCCAAUUUUGAAGGGAAAAAUAUGUUCUGGCCAAUGAAAUUUUUAUUUGUUUGUGUGACUUAAAAGCAAUCUUUGUUUACCAUCUUCUCCUAUUUACUCUCUGAACUUUUAUCCAAUGUGGCCUUACUUAUUAUUUGUAAAAUUUGGUCAAAAUAAUUUCUUUAGCUCUACAAUUAAUUCAGAUUUAAUUGUUGAUAACAAUUAGUUGCAUGAUCUGCUGAGAAGUGGAGACCCAUAACUCCAUCCAAUUUGAGAAGUAAACGCGUUUAUGUAGUUGUGACGAGUUCUCUUGAUUAGGUUACCAUGGCCCAUAGUAAACCUGGGACAUGUUGGGGUUCCAGUGCCUGAAAUAUAGUGUAUUUGUCGGCAUGUUCAUAUGUACAAUGUACGUAGUUGGACUCAACUAAAUGUAUAUAGUGUGCAAAAGUAUGUAAUUUCCUUUAUGUAUAUAGUGUGCAAAAGUAUGUAAUUUCCUUUUCUAUUUUGGUUUCAGGCAAAAAUUUCAACCUCGUGACCACGAAGCUUAAGGUGGUUUAAUGCCAUCAUGACAUUUUCUUUGGCAUGUUGUCUACAUGGACAACCCUUGUUAUAUCUCAUUGUAAUUCUAUAGAGAUAACCAUUUAGAGAAGGAAAUCUUUAUGUUUCAUAUGUUCUUAGAGCAGUCCUAAUUCCUUGAGAAAUUAUCACUUUUAAUAUCAUUUCCCAAGUUCAAUUUCUAUUUCUAAAGUUGUACUUCAUCGUAUUCACUAAUCAAAUCAAUUUAUGUCUCUCGAGUUCAAAUUAAUCUUAUCUAGUUGAGUUAACUAAUUAUAUUUCUUCGUGAAGUUGAAUAAGUAGUCUCCCCUAAUUAAAUGCAUUAAAUCAUUAGGAAUUCAAUUAAAGGCUGCAAUAAUAAUAAAAAUAUAUUUCUACCUUUUACCCAACUGUCGUAUCUUACUAUUUGAUCUAAAUUUAUUACUCACAUCUUGAUUGUUACAAUUCAAAAAUUAUGAAUUCGUGAUCAUAUAAUUCAAGCAUUAAAAGCAAAAGUAGAAUCAAUACUUCAAUCACUCAACGAUGCAAAUAUCAAGAAUUGAAAUAGAUAGUCAAAUUUAGGUUAUAUCUUUUCUCUCAACUAAUAGUUUAAUUACUUAUCAUAGAAGAAGAAGAGCACAUAAGUAUUUUAGAAUACAUGAUUGGAUUUUAUGAAAAAAAAGAGAGGAUGAAUAUUUUGUAUCAAGAACUCGACUUCACGCUGAAAUCUUGAAACCUCAACUUUCUUGAUCUCUAAUCUUUGUAUGUGAAGGAGUUUAUUGCAGUUUUUUGUUAGAAUAAUUUUCUCGUCUACAAGAAAAGUCCUAGUCUUUAUAGACAUCUACUUGUAUUUGAACUUGGCUUUAUUUUUGCUAAGUGGGUUGCUUUCUCGUUUCUGUUGCGAUUGUGUAUUGAAUGGUUAUUUAAGCCAAAGUUAUUGUUAAUAAAACUAAGUCAUUCAAUCCAGCUUUUUGUGUUUCUAUUCUUAGAUCAAAGUUCCCAACAAUCUGGUAUAAGAGCCCCCACUGGGCUUGACAAAUCAAAGUAGCAGUCUUUGAAAUUUUUGCAGCAGCACAGAAGAUGACUACAGAAGGGAGUUUUAUGCAGCUAGCCAUUCAUCGCUUUGAUGGUCACUAUGACCAUUGGAGCAUGCUGAUGGAAAUUUUUUUAAGAUCUAAGGAAUUUUGGAGGCUGGUGGAGUGUGGCUAUAUUGAGCCAGCAAGUGUAUCGGUGCAAAUAGAUGCACAGCGAAAGAAGAAUAAUGAGAUGCAGCUGAAGGACCUAAAAGUGAAGAACUAUCUCUUCCAGGCGAUCGAUUAGACCGUUCUCGACACCAUUCUCAAGAAGAAUACUGCCAAAGAUAUAUGGGACGCUAUGAAUUUUUUUUUUUGAAGGAAAUGCAAGGGUCAAGAGGUCUCAAUCUUCAAGCUUUCCGCAAAGAAUUUGAAACUCUUGAGAUGAGGUCCGGUGAAAAGGUGACAGAGUACUUUUCUAGGGUCAUGACAAUGGUCAACAAGAUGCGAAUUUAUGGAGAAGAUAUGCAGGAUGUUAAAGUGGUGGAGAAAAUUUCAUGCUCUUUAACUGAGAAGUUCAACUAUGUUGUAUGUUCUAUCGAGGAGUCAAAGGACAUUGAUGCUCUUACUAUUGACGAGUUACAAAGCUCAUUAAUAGUGCAUGAACAGAAGUUUCAGAGACGUAAUGGUGAGGAACAGGCUUUGAAAGUGACAUCUGAAGGAAGAAGAGGUCGUGGUACCUAUAGAGGAAGAUGAAGAGGGAGAGGUCGAGCAGACUUCAACAAGGUAAUUGUGGAGUGUUACCGAUGCCAUCAACUUGGACACUUUCAGUAUGAAUGUCCUUCUGGGAACAAAGAAGCAAAUUAUGCAGAGCUUGAUGAGGGAGAAGAAAUGCUUUUGAUGUCUUAUGUGGAGUUGUAUAAGGCCAGAAGAGAAGAUGCAUGGUUCCUUGAUUCAGGGUGUUCUAAUCAUAUGUGCUGGGAUUGAACUAUGUUCAAUGAAUUCGAUGAAAAAUUUCAACAUUCGAUAAAAUUGGGGAACAACACUUAGAUGGAUGUGAUGGGAAAGGGAAGUGUUAAGCUGCUGCUGAAUGGAGUCAAUCAUGUUAUUGCUGAGGUAUACUAUAUUCCAGAAUUGAGAAAUAAUCUCUUGAGCAUAGGGCAGUUGCAAGAAAGAGGCUUGGCUAUUUUGAUCAAGAGAGGGAUGUGUAAGAUAUUACAUCCAGAGAAGGGUUUAAUAAUUCAAACUAACAUGAGUGCCAACUGGAUGUUUAUCUUGCUGCCUCAGUCUUAAGCUCCCUCUCAAGUACAAUCGGAUCAGUGCUUUUGCUCAAGAACUCAAAACGUUUUUCAUCUUUGGCAUCGAAGGUAUUGGCAUCUAAGUUACAAGGGUUUGAGAACCUUGUUGUACAAGAACAUGGUAUGUGGACUUCCUCAACUCUCCACCUCAAGUGUGACAUGCACUUAUUGCAUUAAGGGGAAGCAACAUCAUGACCCUAUUCCAAAGAAGAGUACUUGGAGAGAAACUCAGAAGUUGGAGCUUAUUCAUGCAGAUAUUUGUGGUCCGAUCACUCCUACAUCUAAUAGCAAAAAGAGGUACAUUUUGUUAUUCAUUGAUGAUUACAGUAGAAAAGCAUGGGUGUAUUUCUUGGUGGAGAAGUCGAAGGCUUUAAAUUCUUUUAAAUGCUUUAAGAUUAUGAUUGAAAAAGAAACAUAGUUAUUUGUUAAGUGUUUUCAAACUGAUAGAGAAGGAGAAUUCAAUUCAAAUGAGUUCAAUGAUUUUUGCAAACAAAGUGGUAUCAAGAGGCAACUGACCAUCACUUAUACUCCACAACAAAAUAGUGUAGCUGAAAGGAAAAAUGGAACUGUGAUGAACAUGGUUCGUUCCAUGUUAUCUAACAAGAACAUUCCCAAGACUUUUUGGCUGGAGGCAGUGAACUGGACUAUUUAUGUCCUAAACAGGUGUCCUACAUUGGUAGUCAAGGAUGUUACACCAGAGGAGGCUUGGAGUGGAGUGAAACCCUCGGUAGAUAAUUUUCAGGUCUUUGGCUGCAUAGCACACGUUCAUGUUCUAGAAGAAACGAG